rnacentral:rRNA from 1 species
CAGCAGCCGCGGUAACACCAGCACCUCGAGUGGUCAGGAGGUUUAUUGGGCCUAAAGCAUCCGUAGCCGGUUGCAUAAGUUUUCGGUUAAAUCUAUGCGCUUAACGUAUAGGCCGCCGAAAAUACUGUGCAGCUAGGGAGUGGGAGAGGUACACGGUACUCGAUAGGAAGGGGUAAAAUCCUUUGAUCUAUUGAUGACCACCUGUGGCGAAGGCGGUGUACCAGAACACGUUCGACGGUGAGGGAUGAAAGCUGGGGGAGCAAACCGGAUUAGAUACCCGAGUAGUCCCUGUCUCUUAUAC